GUACAGCACAACUAAAUACAGCUAGCCUCUAACAAGUGAAAAUAGAUAAUUGCAGAAAGUGAAAUCAUUAAGAACAUAAUGUAAUUACAUACAAUAGAAUUAUACUUUUUUAUAAUAUUUUUUAUGGCAUGUUCAUGCUUUAAUGGGACAGAGACAUGAAUGGUGGCGAGAGAGGGGAUGGCAUGCAGGAAAGGGCCCAGGCUAGACCCAAACCAGCCCGCUGCCUGGUGGUACACACUACCGUUGAGCCAGCAAAUGAGCUGACUGAAUAAUCACUCCAAGAUCAAGAAGAUACCUGAUGACUCCAGCUGUCAGUCUGAUAACCACCCCCCCUCCACCCGGUUGUCCCUGUUCUUGUCCAUCUGGUCAGGCUUCUGACGUGGAUUAGGUUUUAAAGACUCUGGAGUCAACUUGUACUCUUAAAAUGUUCAUCCGGCACAGCCAGAAGAGGACAGGUCACCCCUCCGAGCCUGGUUCCUCUCUAAGUUUUUUACUAAAUUUCGUCCCCUCUUAGGUAGUUUUCCCUAGCCACUGUGCUACAAAGCUGUUGUUGUUUGCUCCUUGGGGUUUUCAGGCUGGGUGUUUUGUAAAAGCAUUUUGUGUCAACUGCUGAUGUAAAAGAGGGCUUUAUAAAUACAUUUGAUUGAUUGAUUGUAGGUGUCAUUGAAUAUAGCAUGUUUACUCUUUUGGGUGUAUUACAAACCUAUUAAAAUACCUUGAAUAUG